GCGAUGGGUGAGGCGGAGGGACAUUA
rnacentral:rRNA from 1 species